rnacentral:rRNA from 1 species
ACGGAGGAUGCGAGCGUUAUCCGGAUUUAUUGGGUUUAAAGGGUGCGUAGGUGGACUGUUUAGUCAGUGGUGAAAUGCUGAUGCUCAACGUUAGCAUUGCCGUUGAAACUGACAGUCUUGAGAGUGAUUGAGGCAGGCGGAAUGUGUGGUGGGGGGGAAAAAAAAAAACAACCCACACAGAACCACGAUGGCGAGGGGAUCUUACAAAGCCACAACUGACACUGAAGCACGAAAGCGUGGGGAUCAAACAG